UGCAACAAAGUAAACAUUUAAUAUUUAAAAAAUUUCAACCGUUACUAAUACAAGGACUAAAUGACAUUUUUUAAAUGAUAUUUGUCAAUUCUGUCGAAAUUUGGUCUUAUUUAAUUCUUUUUAAUAAUACAGGAACUAAUUUGAUUUAUUUAAUAGUAGAGGAACUAAUUUGAUCUUAUAUAAACAGAACAGCCAGGUACAUUCACCCUUUAUAAUUGCUAUAUCCAAUGGUUUUGAAUUGCUUCAACAAGUUUGCUCAAAAUACUCACCAAAAAUAUAACUAGGUGCUUAUGUUCCCGUCCUUGGAAACAAAUCAUCCUAACAAGAGCUCAAUCUUACUUAAACAUUGUGCUAAGAAAAUACUGAAAAACAGACAGACACAUACCUGGAUUAACACCUCAACAAUCCAGGACACCAGGGAACAUAUAUAGCCAAUGAAAUCUGCAUUAUCUGUAGUAAUAUACAAUGUCACUUUGAUCUAUUUCUUAUUUUCCUAAUCAAGUAAUUCUCCAAUCCAAUGCCUGCCUCUACUUAUUUAAUUCUUUUUAAUAAUACUGGAACUAAUUUGAUUCAUUUAAUAGUAGAGGAACUAAUUUGAUCUUAUAUAAACAGAACUGCCAGGUACAUUCACCCUUUAUAAUUGCUAUAUCCAAUGGUUUUGAAUUGCUUCAACAAGUUUGCUCAAAAUACUAACCAAAAAUAUAACUAG
rnacentral:lncRNA from 1 species